rnacentral:rRNA from 1 species
CACGUAGGGUCCGAGCGUUGUCCGGAAUUACUGGGCGUAAAGCGUGCGCAGGCGGUUUGGUCAGUCGGUGGUGAAAGCCCCACGCUCAACGUGGGAAUGGCCAACGAGACGGCCCGACUGGAGGCAGGGAGAGGCCGGUGGAAUUCCGGGUGUAGUGGUGAAAUGCGUAGAGAUCCGGAGGAACACCAGAGGCGAAGGCGGCCGGCUGGACCUGACCUGACGCUGAGGCACGAAGGCGUGGGGAGCGAACGGG